CAGGCCUAACACAUGCAAGUCGAACGGCAGCACGGACUUCGGUCUGGUGGCGAGUGGCGAACGGGUGAGUAAUAUAUCGGAACGUGCCCAGUCGUGGGGGAUAACGUAGUGAAAAUUACGCUAAUACCGCAUACGAUAUAUGGAUGAAAGCGGGGGAUCGCAAGACCUCGCGCGAUUGGAGCGGCCGAUAUCAGAUUAGGUAGUUGGUGAGGUAAAGGCUCACCAAGCCGACGAUCUGUAGCUGGUCUGAGAGGACGACCAGCCACACUGGAACUGAGACACGGUCCAGACUCCUACGGGAGGCAGCAGUGGGGAAUUUUGGACAAUGGACGCAAGUCUGAUCCAGCCAUUCCGCGUGCAGGACGAAGGCCUUCGGGUUGUAAACUGCUUUUGUACAGAAAAAAAAGGUCUCUAUUAAUACUAGGGGCU
rnacentral:rRNA from 1 species